GGGUUGGGGGGGGAAAGAGGGAUGCUGCGACCCCGCGGCCUAACGCAGAGCUGCCUGCUCCGCUGCCACCCAGCUCUCUUUUUUAUUUCUUCCCUUCCUUUUUCACGCUUUUUGAUUUUUGUUCCAAUUUUUUUCUUCACCUCUUUAGCCAGAGGGGUGCCUGGGAGCCCAUCGCCACCCCUCACCCCCUUUCCCUGCCCUUCACCUCCCAUCCCUUCUUCUCCCAUCCCUUCUCCCUUCUCUUCUCCCAUCCCUUCUCCCAUCCCUUCUCCCAUCCCUUCUCCCAUCCCUUCUCCCAUCCCUUCUCCCAUCCCUUCUCCCAUCCCUUCUCCCAUCCCUUCUCCCAUCCCAUCCUUUCUCCCAUCCCAUCCUUUCUCCCAUCCCAUCCUUUCUCCCAUCCCAUCCUUUCUCCCAUCCCAUCCUUUCUCCCAUCCCAUCCUUUCUCCCAUCCCAUCCUUUCUCCCAUCCCAUCCUUUCUCCCAUCCCAUCCUUUCUCCCAUCCCAUCCUUUCUCCCAUCCCAUCCUUUCUCCCAUCCCAUCCUUUCUCCCAUCCCAUCCUUUCUCCCAUCCCAUCCUUUCUCCCAUCCCUUCCUUCUCCCAUCCCUUCCUUCUCCCAUCCCUUCCUUCUCCCAUCCCUUCUCCCAUCCCUUUGCAGCUGGAGGCCAACCCGCCCUGCAUCCCUCCAUCCCCGACCCUCUGCCCCAGUGCUCCCAGCAGGUACCUCGCACUGGGCAAGGACAGGCCUUACUGGAAGGGACGGUGUCAUCCCCCCCCACAACCUCCCCCAUGGGGCAGGGGGGGCCUUUGAUGAUGGCAGUGAGGGGGGGUCCAUCUCUCUUUGCAGCCCCGCGCGCAGACCCUCACCUCCGGGACGGCACCCACAGGAAGAACAUCAACAGGAGUUUGGGGUCCCUGGGACGACUCUUUGCACCCUGACCCCCCCUGGGGUGCUGCAGGUAUUUGGGGGCAGCCCCCCACCCCCCCCUUUCCUUCCUGGGCUCAUAGCCCAGCGGGUGCGGAUGCCGCAAGGAGCCCGCCGUGCCGUGCCGUGCCGUGCCGUGCCGUGCCGCGCCAAUAAAGCUCUUUUCGCUGCGGGUCUCCCGCA
rnacentral:lncRNA from 1 species